CCCCAGCGCCCACUGGGGAUGGCAAAGACGACAUCCGGUGCGCCGAGGCUGCUCACAAAAUCACUCACCUGUGGCGCCCUUGGCCGCUCAGUCAAGGCUCUGAAUAUCCUGAGACUGCCCCACUGCUUGGAAGCCCCGGACACCAGAGAGUUUCCUGUAGGUCCUCCAGCCGAGCCCGAUGACCCCGGCAGGCCCGGGAGUGAUGUCCCCCUCUGGAUGAUCCCAACCCCUUGCUGUGGAUUCAGCCCCAGCCGUUGUUGUGUCUUUUGGGGACCUUGUCAGUUGCCUUCCAAGUGCUAAUUCUCAUGACGAGAUAAGAAUGGCUAUGACUGGGUGUUGAUUGAUGAGUCGAACACAUUGAAUCCUGGAGUUUGAGGUUAUCAGAACUCCCCACUUAGAAAAUCAUCCUUUAUAUUUUAGAAAAUCAUCAUUGUAUGUUGAACAUACAAUGCUUCUUUUUUCUUCAUCUCCAGUGCACUGGUCUAGAGAGCGGCAGUUGGACCCCAGAGUGUGGCACGUGUUCCUGUGUUCAUUUGAACAUUCUCUGAUGACCUGUCGCUGAGGUCCUGUGAUGAUGCGUAUCCUGUCUUCCACCCCAACUGCCACUGUGUUUCAACUGUCGCUGGCUGUGUUUCAACUGCCGCUGUGUUGGAACUGCCAGCUAGACUGCUCACCAAAAUGGGAGGCAGCCUCUGCUGCUGUGGUGAAGGUGAAGGCUUCUUCUACCGCCAGAAUUGGCGGUUUCUCUCGCUGGAUUCUUGGGACCUGAUCCAGGCAGCACACUCGACACACUCAGCGAUUCAGCUCUACAGUAUGCACUCUGGGAUCUCCCAUUUGCUAAGGAAGGAUCUUAGCUUUGAGAAAGUGGCAAGAGAUCCCCUCUUGAGGAGACUCCGCAGGAACACCAGAGAUGAUAGUGACACACAACAACUGAAGGCAGAGGUACAGGCUGAGGAGAAAGGUGUCAAGCCUGUGGCAGCAGAGCUUCCUGGGGAGUCCUCAGAGCAAGUCAUUGCCAUUGUCGAAGUGUCUUCUAGGCUUUAUUUUGGGGCCAUUACCUCGAGCACUGUUUCUUGUCUGGUUUCCUAAUGUCAGCAACUGAAGAAAAGACCUGUAUACACAGGACACAGCAUGGUCUGACGCUCACAGUGUUUUCCUUUCUCUCUGCAGAGGGAUUCAGCACUUUGGGCAAGUGGUUGCACAGAGGAUCCCGUGGAAGAAUUCAUAUAUGAAUCAGAUGAGAAUGCCCCAGGACCAUCGUAGAUACCAACAAGCCCUCUCCCGGCACCUGCAGAAAAAGUGGGGAAAAUCCCCGAAGAGGCAGAAACAAAACCUAGUGAGCUGAAGGAUGAGGCUGCUGAAGAGCCUGAGCUCACUUGUUGUGGCCUUUGUACUUAUGCUGGAAAUCCCUAAAGAUUCAUCCGGAAGGGCCGCCAGCCAGUGGAUUUCCCGGGCCCCUCAGCCCUCUGGAGUAAAUGUUAAUGGCUGGGCGCAGUGGCUCACGCUUGUAAUCCCAGCACUUUGGGAGGCUGAGGCGGGAGAAUCACUUGAGCCCAGGAGUUGGAGACCAGCCUGGGAAACAUGGGCUCACACUCCUCUGAAACAACUCACGAAGAGCCUGAGGAAGCAGUUCUCACUGGAAAAUGCAAGAAAGUAUGUUCCGGUGAAGACCCUCAGCUCUGUUCAUUUUCAUGAUGCAAAUGCCCACAAAGGUGGUUUUGACCUGACUGACCCUGUGCAAGGAGGCACAGUCUCCUCACCAGCAUAAGCACGUGGCAUCAGAUGCGGAGACAGUUUUGGACGUGGAUGGAUGUUUACACACUGAGACUCCUUCAGUGUCCCUUCAAGAAAAUGUGGACACAAUGUCUCUGAAGCCUGUUAGUGACCAUAGAAUUAAUUUCACUAAUACCUUUCGGUCACCGACUCCUGAAAAGAGAACACGUGAAUAUCAUGAGUCCGUUGAAAAAAGACAAAAUGAAUCUCACACAGAAUGUGGUCUAUGGAAAUGAAGAGGGCAGAGGGGUCAUGGACCUUGCCUGUCACACAUCUUUUACGAGCAAACAAAAUGUGAUGAGAUGACUGAAGACUUGAGAUCUGGUUAGUGAUACCACCAAUGAGAUGAGCACCACAGUUAUUCAAGCCAGCCCAGCCCUGUCCGAGGAAUAGGCUGUGGAAAAAUUGAGAGAAUUUCCAUUUCAGAAUAUAGGAAAAGGAACAUAAAGGAACAUUACCAUCUAUGAUCCCAAACGACUGAUAUGAAAAAAUGACUGCAACUACUUCUCUGAGUAGCAAGCCUAAAGAUGUAAAACCUAACCUUAGAUCAAGUGAAGAUCCUUCCUCCAAAAGUGGAGAUCUGUUGGAACCCAGUGAGGUGGAUUGGACGUCAGACCUCAAGAAAGUGGACCGGAUCGGGCUGGCUCUCCUGAGCAAGUCAGGUCUGAGUCGUCAGACGGGGUCAGCUGCUCACACCUCCCUGUGUCCUGCCAGGAGACUGUAGAUGAUGAUCAAAGAAUCAUCACUAAAGCUACGUCAACUGCAAGUUGUGAGCUCAGAGGCCGGGACCUGUUCCCAGCGGAACCAUUCAUGGCUCUGCAGCUGAGACGCAGAACAUGGGGCUGCGGUGCCUGCACUCUUGAUGUCACCCCUCCCAGCACAGCUUCCUUCAGCCAGAGGUAUUGAAGAACACUCCCUUCAGCUGGAAGUGUCGCCCUGCCUCAGUGCCAGGCUGGCAGGGCCAUAGCCUGUGGCUUCUCAGGAGGCCAUCCCUAUCCAGCUGUCACGGGAGAGCAUGUGCAGAACUCUGUGGCUGUGGAAUUUGGGACCAAAUACCGGCUCUGGAUGGAUGGGCACCUCUUCCAUCUGCGACCCAUAUUCUGAUGCCUCACAUCGGAACCUGCUAAGCACAGCGAAGCCUUUUCCUGUGCAUUCUAUUGGUACAAACUGGAAAGAAACCACGAGAUUCAGGAAUGACAUCAGUACUGGGUAGAAACAGAACAGAAAGCCAUUCUUGAUUUUGGUGACUGGAGUUGUGGAGGCUGGAAGUCUCUGCCAAUAAAAGCACUGAACUGGACACACACCACUUACCAAUCAAGUUGAUUCUCAAUGUUAGCACCGUGGCCUGGCAAGAUCGGACGUUUUCCGAGGAACCCGGCUGAGCUCCUGUGAGAGCUGCUCCCUGCACUGAUGUGGUCCCUUGGCUGGCAGGCUGCUCUGUGAUCAACCAGGUGACACCUGCCUGUUAUGAGGGACAGGUAGGAGAGGAUGGGCUUUCCAUCAAAACAAACAAAAAAAAAGUCCCAAGAAGGAACUCGGCUCUUCAGAGAUUCAGGACUCAGGAGAAGACUUCGUAGUGAGAGUUGACGUAGAAGUUGACAGCCCAAACCCCACACCAGUUCUUAGAAGUAUUGAUCUCCAAGAAAGAGCAGAAAGAGCUACAACUCCUGCUCCCAGGGACUUACAGGUCCCAGAAUGAGAAAGUCCCUCUUUAGUGGAUCUAGAGAAUCUAUUCGUUAAACCUGGAGAAGAACAUGAGGUUAUAGUUUCUUUUUCUCCAAGGGAUCCCAAAGUUUGGGAGGAAAGGAUCUAAAAAAUGUUUGUGCAGCCAUUUGGACCUCAGUAUGAAGUGGUGUUAAAAGGUGAAGUCCAUUCUUCAGGAAGUAAACCUCUGCCACGUGGAUCAUGCUCAGACAUCCUAUUGAAGUUUGUCCAACAAUUUCUUGCUUUGGAAGGUGUCUCUCUUGGUGGAACACAGUUUCACCUUUUGCUGGAACUCAGAGCUACAAAUGAUGCUUAAUGUACCAAUGCCUUCUGACUGAACUCCUCUCUGCCCUGAAUACAAGAGACCCUAAUAGUUAUGUGGAAAUAUCAUCGCCCCGUUCAGCAUGAAGAAGUUACAAAAGAUGGACCUUCAUCCUUCUGCAACCCUUAGGAUUAAGGGUCCUCUUGUAAAAGGGAGGGGAAAUAUGUAAGAAGCAUUCAAACCAGAGCGACUCCAUUUUGAACAAGGGCUAAGAAAAAUGAAGCUGGGUCCUGUUGGGCUGCAUGCCCAGGAGGUUAAGCAUUCUUAGCCUCAAGAUGUUUACAAUUGAGGGAACAGAUUAAUAAUGUUUCCUAAACAGACUCAGGACUUAACAGACUCAGGAACGUCUUGAUACUUUGAGAACAAAAGCACUUCUAGUUUUAAAUACGCAUUGUACCUAGGCUGGAUGCUUUUCUUACUUUUGGAAAUGCCCUACCCUGUCUAUGGAGUCACUAUUCAUUCCCUCCUUUAUUAAAGUUGCUUCUAUUUUGCA
rnacentral:lncRNA from 1 species